UACGGAGGGUGCAAGCGUUAUCCGGAUUCACUGGGUUUAAAGGGUGCGUAGGUGGGUCUGUAAGUCAGUGGUGAAAUCUUCGAGCUUAACUCGGAAACUGCCAUUGAUACUAUAGAUCUUGAAUUUUCUGGAGGUAAGUGGAAUAUGUCAUGUAGCGGUGAAAUGCUUAGAUAUGACAUAGAACACCAAUUGCGAAGGCAGCUUACUACGGGAACAUUGACACUGAGGCACGAAAGCGUGGGGAUCAAACAGG
rnacentral:rRNA from 1 species